rnacentral:rRNA from 1 species
GAUGAACGCUGGCGGCGUGCCUAAUACAUGCAAGUCGAGCGAACAGGCGAGGAGCUUGCUCCUCUGACGUUAGCGGCGGACGGGUGAGUAACACGUGGAUAACCUACCUAUAAGACUGGGAUAACUUCGGGAAACCGGAGCUAAUACCGGAUAAUAUAUUGAACCGCAUGGUUCAAUAGUGAAAGACGGUUUUGCUGUCACUUAUAGAUGGAUCCGCGCCGCAUUAGCUAGUUGGUAAGGUAACGGCUUACCAAGGCAACGAUGCGUAGCCGACCUGAGAGGGUGAUCGGCCACACUGGAACUGAGACACGGUCCAGACUCCUACGGGAGGCAGCAGUAGGGAAUCUUCCGCAAUGGGCGAAAGCCUGACGGAGCAACGCCGCGUGAGUGAUGAAGGUCUUCGGAUCGUAAAACUCUGUUAUUAGGGAAGAACAAAUGUGUAAGUAACUAUGCACGUCUUGACGGUACCUAAUCAGAAGGCCACGGCUAACUACGUG